UGGGGAAUUUUGGACAAUGGACGAAAGCCUGAUCCAGCAAUGCCGCGUGUGUGAAGAAGGCCUUCGGGUUGUAAAGCACUUUUGUCCGGAAAGAAAUCCUUGGCUCUAAUACAGUCGGGGGAUGACGGUACCGGAAGAAUAAGCACCGGCUAACUACGUGCCAGCAGCCGCGGUAAUACGUAGGGUGCAAGCGUUAAUCGGAAUUACUGGGCGUAAAGCGUGCGCAGGCGGUUUGCUAAGACCGAUGUGAAAAUCCCCGGGCUCAACCUGGGAACUGCAUUGGUGACUGGCAGGCUAGAGUAUGGCAGAGGGGGGUAGAAUUCCACGUGUAGCAGUGAAAAUGCGUAGAGAUGUGGAGGAAUACCGAUGGCGAAGGCAGCCCCCUGGGCCAAAUACUGACGCUCAUGCACGAAAAGCGUGGGGGAGCAAAACAGGAUUAGAUACCCUGGUAGUCCACGCCCUAAAACGAUGUCAACUAGUUGUUGGGGAUUCAUUUCCUUAGUAACGUAGCUAACGCGUGAAAGUUGACCGCCUGGGGGAGUACGGUCGCAAAGAUUAAAAACUCAAAUGAAUUGACGGGGUCAU
rnacentral:rRNA from 1 species